CCAUCCCACUGCUAAGCCUUUAUAAACGAAAAUCUCAAGAAAAGCUCGCUUGUAUUUGAAACAGUCCCAGUUCUCAUGUCCUUCUAUAAAAGAUGCUACUGGAUGUUCUGUAAUGGCAAAGAGAGGCUUGACAGUAAUGUCACUUACAGCUUUAAGUUAAAGGUCCUAUAAACUGAAAACUAUAAAGUUUUUGUGUUUAACACCUGCUUUCAGUACUUUAAAGCUAAAACUGGCACCGUGAACUUUGACUUAAUGUACAGCUGUGAGCUAACAAGUAACCAGCACCAGACUAACACCUCGUUAUACCAUCACCCAGAACUUCAUGCUAUCAUAAUCCAACAUGUGCAUACGCAGGAAAAUGCCUCACAUUUGCAUGAAUUUCUCAAGCAGUCAAGCCCUCAUCCUACAUCUUAUCAGCGCCCUCAGUGAUAGUGUGUGAAGUGUGUGUGAAACAGAUAGAAAGAGAUGCGGGAAUCUUCACAGACUCUCCCCCUCGCUGUUAUAUGGCACAAGUCUAAACGUGCAUCCUACAACUCUGCAGAAUGACUCAGAUGAAUCCUGUGAAGAUUAUUCCACCUUAUUAGGCAGGAUUGCUGUGCCGUGUCCAAGUCCCCUCCUACUAUUCUUUGUCGGCCUGAUGCUAAUUCAUACACCUGAUGCUGCCUCAGAGGCAGUUGCGCAACUUUCGUUUCCAAGAAGGCGCGAUGAGAGGCUCGCCAACAUUUGAGUGGACACCUUCGUGGACAGAGCAUCCAUGUAGAAACAGAGACAGGACAGAAAAACAGAGACUUCACGAGGAAUUCGGAGAUGUAAUGUUUGUUGUUUUGCCCUUUUGCUGAUGUCAGAAUCCUCUCAGGCUCUUAACCUCUUUAUCUAAAUAAACACUGACAUAGAAGAGCACAAUAAGCACUUGGAUAGAAAGAGUGUGCAUAGCUGCUUUUUGCAAAUGUUUCCAGCUCAGCGUUUAGAAUCUUCUCUCUGGAUGCAAAAUGUUUUAUUCUGAAGAUUUUGAACCUUUUAAAACACAAGCUAGACAUUAUGACAUGUUUGUGGAAAACAUGAAAUAGUCCAAAACAAAUCAUGAAAAAUGUGUGUUAAACUACCCCUGCUGAAUCAUCCCAGUGUUGUACUUGUGUUAGUACACCUUCAUUGCUUCUUUUUUACUUUCUGUUCUUAUUUUUAUUGCUUUUUAAGUUAUGAGAAUAAAGUUGGUUAUCAUUU